rnacentral:rRNA from 1 species
AAUGAACGCUGGCGGUAGGCCUAACACAUGCAAGUCGAACGGCAGCACAGUAAGAUUUUUCUCUUACGGUUAGCGAGUGGCGGACGGGUAAAGAAUAGAUCGGAAUCUACUUUUUCUGGGAUGAUAUCGUAAAGAAACUGAUGCUAAUACCUCAUAUUUCUUACCGCAUAAAUCAAAGGUGCAAGGCAGCUUUCCUGACAGAUAUAGCCGAUGUCGGAUUAGCUAGUUGGCUUGGUAAGGUCCCACCAAGGCGACGAUCCGUAGCUGGUCUGAGAGGAUGAUCAGCCACACUGGAACUGAGACACGGUCCAGACUCCUACGGGAGGCAGCAGUGGGGAAUAUUGGACAAUGGGCGCAAGCCUGAUCCAGCCAUACCGCGUGGGUGAAGAAGGCCUUCGGGUUGUAAAGCCCUUUUGUUGGGAAAGAAAAGCAGCAGGUUAAUACCCCGCUGUUCUGACGGUACCCAAAGAAUAAGCACCGGCUAACUUCGUG